GUGAACGCUGGCGGUAGGCCUAACACAUGCAAGUCGAACGGCAGCACAGUGAGAGCUUGCUCUUACGGGUGGCGAGUGGCGGACGGGUGAGGAAUACAUCGGAAUCUACUUUUUCGUGGGGGAUAACGUAGGGAAACUUACGCUAAUACCGCAUACGACCUACGGGUGAAAGCAGGGGAUCUUCGGACCUUGCGCGAUUGAAUGAGCCGAUGUCGGAUUAGCUAGUUGGCGGGGUAAAGGCCCACCAAGGCGACGAUCCGUAGCUGGUCUGAGAGGAUGAUCAGCCACACUGGAACUGAGACACGGUCCAGACUCCUACGGGAGGCAGCAGUGGGGAAUAUUGGACAAUGGGCGCAAGCCUGAUCCAGCCAUACCGCGUGGGUGAAGAAGGCCUUCGGGUUGUAAAGCCCUUUUGUUGGGAAAGAAAAGCAGCAGGUUAAUACCCCGCUGUUCUGACGGUACCCAAAGAAUAAGCACCGGCUAACUUCGUG
rnacentral:rRNA from 1 species